UACCAGCUCUCCGAGUGGUAGGGAUGAUUAUUGGGCUUAAAGCGUCCGUAGCUGGCUUAGCAAGCCUCCUGUUAAAUUCAGCGACCUAAUCGUUGAGCCGCGGGAGAUACUACUAGGCUAGGAGGCGGGAGAGGUCGACGGUACUUUCGGGGUAGGGGUGAAAUCCUAUAAUCCCGGGAGGACCACCAGUGGCGAAGGCUGUUGACUAGAACGCGCUCGACGGUGAGGGACGAAAGCUGGGGUAGCGAACCGGAUUAGAUACCCGGGUAGUCCCAGCUGUAAACUAUGCGGGCUAGGUGUUGGGGUGGCUACGGGCCACUUCAGUGCCGCAGGAAAGCCAUUAAGCCCGCCGCCUGGGGAGUACGGCCGCAAGGCUGAACUUAAAGGAAUUGGCGGGGGAGCACCACAAGGCGUGAAGCUUGCGGUUC
rnacentral:rRNA from 1 species